UAACUGAAGAGUUUGAUCAUGGCUCAGAUUGAACGCUGGCGGCAGGCUUAACACAUGCAAGUCGAGCGGAGAGAGGUAGCUUGCUACUGAUCUUAGCGGCGGACGGGUGAGUAAUACUUAGGAAUCUGGCUAUUAGUGGGGGACAACAUUUCGAAAGGGAUGCUAAUACCGCAUACGUCCUACGGGAGAAAGCAGGGGAUCUUCGGACCUUGCGCUAAUAGAUGAGCCUAAGUCGGAUUAGCUAGUUGGUGGGGUAAAGGCCUACCAAGGCGACGAUCUGUAGCGGGUCUGAGAGGAUGAUCCGCCACACUGGGACUGAGACACGGCCCAGACUCCUACGGGAGGCAGCAGUGGGGAAUAUUGGACAAUGGGGGGAACCCUGAUCCAGCCAUGCCGCGUGUGUGAAGAAGGCCUUAUGGUUGUAAAGCACUUUAAGCGAGGAGGAGGGUACUGGUAUUAAUACUACCAGGUACUGGACGUUACUCGCAGAAUAAGCACCGGCUAACUCUGUGCCAGCAGCCGCGGUAAUACAGAGGGUGCGAGCGUUAAUCGGAUUUACUGGGCGUAAAGCGUGCGUAGGCGGCUAAUUGAGUCGGAUGUGAAAUCCCCGAGCUUAACUUGGGAAUUGCAUUCGAUACUGGUUAGCUAGAGUGUGGGAGAGGAUGGUAGAAUUCCAGGUGUAGCGGUGAAAUGCGUAGAGAUCUGGAGGAAUACCGAUGGCGAAGGCAGCCAUCUGGCCUAACACUGACGCUGAGGUACGAAAGCAUGGGGAGCA
rnacentral:rRNA from 1 species